AUUGUAUAUCUUGUUGCUGUAGAUUUACACAUGUGAGUUUGUUUUCUUGGACUCAACUUCCUAAGAAGUACCCAUCCGGACUUCAAAAUGAUCUUUCCCUCUGCGUAAAUUAAAGCAGGCUGCCCAGCAAACUGUGUGUCCAGCUGGCCAAAGGCUCCCUAGCAAAGGGACACCAGAGAUUCUGUGAUCCGUCUGUGAAUGCCUCGUGAGUCAUCCUGCCACACACUGACAAAGUGCUACCACUGCCUUCCCGCUAAUGGAGCCAACGUGAUAGAUAAGCAGUCCCAGGUCAGCCAUACAUAGAGAUACUGAUGUGGCAGAGAUCCAAAUGAAGAUAGUGCUAAUUGGAGGAGGAGGGAAGUGAAUCCGCAGUCAACAGUGAGCGAUGGGCUGUUCUCCGCACAUGCACCAGGAAGACCGGAACAGAACUGCAGCAUUGCUUCUGCACUAAGAGGUUAUGCUGGGACGCUACUCCCAGCACCAGGCAGACUCAGAGGACGUCGACAGCGGCGUUCAGCACUGUGGGAGACACCCUCCCUCUGCUUCAGGAUCUCCUCAACAGCCAGCGCUGGGCCAGCACACGUGAAGGCAAGGAGCAGGGCCUAAAACCCCAGCACCUGAGCGUGCUCCUAAAGGCUCCGAAGUCUCACCAGACAGCCGCAGACUGGGGAUCCCCGAAUUGAACCUUUACAGCUUUGUCUAUCGGAGCCGCUCAGAUGGGAGCCCGAUGCAGCGACGGCGACUGGAGGAGACGGGUGUCGCUCUCACAAAACAGCAGCACGUGGCACGGCCGGCGCUCCAGGACCCCACAACCGGGGCCCGUCUCCCUCCGCGCUGCCUGUCUGGGCUUUGUUUUCUCUUUUCUUUUCGCUCUUCAUCCUUCUCCAGUCUACUUUGUCUUGCCCACACAAAACCGGCUCCCCAAGCUCAUAUUCUAGCUUGACAACUAGGAUGGUUAUUGUGCACUCUUUACAGCUGAUUUAGAGCCCCUAACUCUACUUUCUUUUCCAUUUACCUACAGACCCUUACCUUCCUUAUGUUCCCCUUCCCAAGCUUUCCCUUCCUCCAUUCCUCCCUCCCUCCCUUCCUUCCGCUUUUCUCCUCCUCUACUUCCUCCUCCUUUAUCAUAUGCUGAAGGAACUUUUUCUGGACCAAUUUUAGGAGCAUCUUUUUAAAUAAAAUAAAGGAAAAUAAAGCAGCAUGUGAGUCAGUACCUGUGAGAAUCGCCUUUGAGCCCCUCAUAUGGUGCUGAGAGACCCAGCUCUGCACUGGGUGGAUCCUGGCCCCAUGUGUACAAAGCCCAGACGGUUCUUUCCUUGUUCUGAACAAUGCAGUCUGGAGAACCUCAGCGACUCCCCUUGUACGGGUAUGGAUGCUUUCUUCCCUGCACGUUCUUUGGUUCUUUGGUUUAGCUGUGCACCUCGUAUAAGGAUGUCUGCCAUCUGUGCAUCUGGAUGCCUCAAAGGAACAUUCAUCUGUUGUUCAGGAAGGACAGAUGGGCAGAGGGGAGUAGCCUCAGAGAAUGGAAAUUCUGCUUUGUUCUGCUUCCUCAUCUUGCAACUGCCAAGGCCUCAGGAGGGGAUGGUGGUGUGCUCCUUGUCUGAGAGUGCUGGGGAAUUCCUGAGCAGUAUGACUGUUAUUUCUGGUGGGGACAGUACUUGUGCCAUGUGUCUUUGUGUGUAAGGUUGUGUGAAAAACACCAGUGACUACCAUAGGAAACGUUUUCAACAGUGACUUUGUGGAAAUCAAAAAGUUUUCUACAUUUAGAUGUUUGCUUCUGAUGUCCACUCACUGUAAAAAAAAAAAAAAAAAGCAAAACAAAAACAAAGUGAAGACAUAACAUUAAACCAUAAUUUGAAGAGAAAAUUUCUGUGGAGAAGCUAAAAUUGUGAGGCACUGUCUUGUGACUUUCUGGUUAUCUCCCUCGAUCCCAGAAAAGAAUUUAGAAUUCCUUGUGCAGAAUUCCUUGUGUCUUGUUUGUGGUGUAGCUUUCCCAGGCUCACUUAUCUUUGCCAGAUUUUUCAGCUCAGGUGAGAUAGUGAAAUGCUGAAAGGCUUGGCUGCCAGAGAGGAGGAGGAAGACUUACAACAGAGCGAGGAAGUUGCUCAGUGGAAAUAAAACAUGGCUGUCACAAAGAAUAGAAAUUCAGAUUGACCUGUGUGCUACCGUGUUCCUAACUUCACUCCUGGUUUCCAGUAGAGGGAGUGGGAGAAGUAAGACAAGAACAGUGGUUUUGCUUAGCCUUCCGUUCCUGAGAUUCUCCCUGCUGCAGGACUCCUCAGGUAAAAUCACCCCCAUGUGUCCCUCCACAGGUUUGUUCAACCCCACUUUCUAUUGCUUUUCUGUAGGGAGCAAGCUGUGGAAUGAUGGUGGUUGGGGAAGACAAUGGUUACAUCUGUUAGCUUUUCCUACUUCAAAGCAGAGAGGAGCUUCUAGGGAAGGAGAGGGUUUAUUUGGGCAUGCAGCUUGGGGGGUCACAGUGGAAGCUUGGGUGGUCCCAUUAGUCUGGGAUCUGGUGGAAGCUGGCCAUGGCUGGCAGUGGUGGAGCAUGUGUGGAGGUUCACAUGGGGAAUCAAGAGCAAAGAGACCCAGGAAGCACACCUGGCUUGUAAAUCUGACCUAUUUGCAAGAACUACCUUCUGAGGGCAAGCCCCAGUGACCUAAGCAUCUCCCACCAGGCCCACCUACCAGUGGCCAUAAUUGGAUCAAGUAUUCACCCUUAGUGCAUCAGCUAUUAACAAAAGAUGUUGUGGUUUAAACAUUUGUGUGAGUUUGGGGAGGCAGAUCCUGCUCAGUCUGACAAGGUAGUUCCUUUUUUCCACUUUUCUUCAAUGUCGCACUUCCUAUGGCCAGUGCUGUCUGUGGAACCUAUGGACCUUGUUCUCUGGAAGAGAAAUAAUGCUAAAUUAUCUUGGGGGCAGAUUUAAAAGUGUCCUUCAUUUUGCUUAGAUGAUGAGCAUAUUAUUUUAUCUCUGUGCUUUCUCCAAGGGACUGAAGCUAAAUAAGGAUUUUUAGACAUAAUGAAUCUUAGCCCCAUAUGGCAAGUUACAAGUAGAAAUGGUCUUCUAGGAGUAGAAUAAGCAGGCACUAGAAGUACUCCAAGUUUGAAGGUUUCCAUGCUUUGUCUUUUCUGUUUUGAAGGAGACUUGAUAGUUCUGUGACUUCAGGGGGACUGAUCUGAUGUGACUUUGGUGCUGACCAUGGUGGCAGGAGUAGGCUAGGGUCACACACCAUCUGGGAGAGUUUUCUGAACAAUGCAUUUAUUUAAUUAAUGCCCAUCUUCUCUCAUUGUUAACUUCAAUCCCCAGCACUGUCCUGGCACAUAGUGGGUGUGAUAUUAGUUUUUUUGGAAAGGAAUAAAUGUUUAUAACAGCAAACUAGGGGAGAUGCCUUGAACUCUGUAUGACAACUGCUUGUAAAACAGACUCAGACAGCCAUGUUGAAACAGAUGACAGCCCUAAGCUACAGGUAGUUGUACUUUGUCAUAAAAUAUUUUUUCUGCAUCAGUUUAGGUGUAAGUUAGAUUUUUUUCUAUAAGAAAUGAUCAACCAAGGACUAUCACAAUAAUAAUAUUUAGAAAAGAAAGACAUACUAGAGAUAUGGGUGGACUUCUUUUAAUUUUAGGUGGUAAGAAUUACCAAACAUCUGGUAAGAUACAUCACUGUAAAAAUAUUCUUUAAAACAAAAAUCGGGGCCGGCGCUGUGGUGUAAUGGAUAAAGCCGCCACCUACAGUGCCAGCAUUCCAUAUGGGCACUAGUUUGAGUUCCAGCUGCUCCACUUCCCAUCCAGCUCUCUGCUGUGGCCUGGGAAAGCAGUAGAAGAUGGCCCAAGUCCUUGGGCCCCUGCACCCACGUGGGAGACCUGGAAAAAGCUCCUGGCUCCUGGCUUCGGAUUGGCCCAGCUCUGACCAUUGCAGCCAACUGGGGAGUGAACUGGCUAAUGGAAGACCUCUCUCUCUCUCUCUCUCUCUCUCUCUCUCUCUCUCUCUCUCUGCCUCUCCUUCUUUCUCUGUGUAACUCUGACUUUCAAAUAAAAUAAAUAAAUCAUAAAAAAUCUUUGUUUGCUAUGAUUCUAUUUACUUUUAGGCUACUAGUCCUGGUUAUGGGCACCAUAAAGAGCACUACAGGUUUGUGGAAUUUAUAAUCACUAAAUGUUAUCAUGAGAUGGUAGCUGCCCUACACCUCAGGCAUACUAGUCUUUCUUUAAGCAGAUAAAGAGGUUCUAGGAGAGGGAAAACAUUCUUUCCCUUUCCCAUUGCUUAGUUCAUACCUGAGGACACUAGAACGAAAGACAGAAUAACAGAUUCAUUUCUAAAAGCUUUAUGUGAUACAGGAUCCUUCAGAAAUGAAGACCCAAAGAAGCAAGGAAAUAGGUAUUUUUUGUGCUGGGUUUGAUGAAGAGUGGGGCGGGCAGUCUCGGAGAAGUGUGAUGGAUAAUGGGGUGUGAUCUAACAGUGAUAGACUGGGUGGGGGUCUUGGUCAGGCCUGCUUGUUCAUGCCAUCUCUCUGCGUCUGCCCCUCUGAGAAGGGAUGCUCCCUUCCUGUGGCUGUCGGGAGGUCACCUCUGGAACAGGAGUCUUCCAUGUGAGCAGCAGUCAGACAGUGACCUUCCCAGGUCUGAGGGCCUGCUUCAAGGGAACAGGACAAGGGGACGGGGAGGGGACCUGCCUGUUUCUAUUUUCCCAAGUGCCAAGGUUGCGUGUUUUGGAGGUAGUGUGUCCCAAACCCAUCAAAAAAAUAAAAUAAAAGAAAGAAACGGAGCAUCCGCCUUUCCUGCCAGGUUCAUCUGAAAGCAGCACCAAGUGAUUAUGAUGACCUAAAAAUAGCGGCUGUAUCUGAAAAAUUGAAACUGCUUUGAGCAGCAUCUCAUCUCCUUCCUGUUGCUCACGGCUUGGCUGAUUGGAGAAUAUUUUUUGCCUAUGAUAUCAAAACCUGGUACUAAAACCUCCUAAGAUUGUCAACAAUUAAUAUGCUGUUUAUCUUCCCCAAGCAAGAAACUUUCCCCACUUUUAAUCUUUUUCACCACUCUAACUCUCAGAUCUUAUAAAUUAACAUUCAGGGACUCCUAUGUAAAACUUAAAAAAAAAAAAACAAAAAAAACAAAACCGUUGCCCUGUGCAGUGAUUUCCUGAUGGAGUGCGAUUCAAUGCCAAUCGAUACUGGAAUACUGGGGCCAGAGCAAGACACAGGCUUCCUCCUCUAGAGUGAUAGGCAACCAGAGAGAAUUGGGCAUGAAAAAGGGGAGCCCAGAAUGUCUGCAGAGACGCUUCCUUUUACGGUGAGUGCUGCUUCCUCUCCUGAGCUGUAAUUUUAUCCACUUAGGCUAAACCUAAUAAGGCCUUGACGGAAGGGGGAAGAUGAAAUUAUGUCAGAAUCUCUGUCGGGUCAGGGGAAGCUUUCUGGCUGGGAAAGUAGACACACGUCCUCCCGUCCUCCCGUGGUCCCGAGUGCUGAUGACAAGUCCAGAUCAGAGCAGGGGGAGUGGCAAGUUGGGGUUUCUAACAGCUGCUGCUUCUCCUUCUUUAAAGCAAGUGGAAUAUAUUAAGUAUUUUUAGAUGUAUUUUUGUAUAUUUGAUAGAAAGUGUUACAGAGAGUUAGGGAGAGACAGAGAAAGAGAGAUCUUCCAUCUUCUGGUUCACUCCCCAAAUACUGCAACAACUGGGGGGUUGGCCAGGUUGAAGCCCAGAGUCUGGAGUUCCAUCUGGGUCUCCCACGUGGAUGGCAGGGACCCAAGCACGUGGGCUAUCUUGUGCUGCCUUCCCAGAUGCAUUAGUAGGGAGUUGGAGCUGAGUGGAACAGUGGGACUUGAACUGAUGCCCACAUGGGAUGCCGUCAUCGCGAGCAGUAGCUCAGCUAGCUGUGCCACAAUGCAGCCCCCCAAAUUAUGCCUUAACUCAAUAGUUUGAUAGGAAUAAGAAGUUCUCAGAUUCUAUUGAACAUUAGGAUGUUUAUAGGUAAUAAUAACAUACUGUUUAUUUUUUAGAAAAGAACUAGGAGGAAGGAUUUUGAAUGUUUUCAGUAUCAAAAAAUGCUAAUUGUUUGAACCCAUAGAUUAUUAUUUGUUUACCCUGAUUGGAUGUUACAGGUUAUACAUAUAUCAAAGUAUCACAUGGUACCCCAGGAAAAUAUAAACUUUUCAUGUACCAGUUAAAAAAAAGAAAAACAAUAGGGGCUGGCAUUGUGGCACAGUGGGUUAAGCUGCUGCCUCAACACCAAUAUCCUAAUUUGAAGUGCCAGUUUGAGUCCCAGCUGCUCUGCUUUGGCUCCAUCUUUGUGCUAAUGCUCUUGGGAAAUCAGUGGAAGAGGGCUCAAGUGUUUGGUCCUCUGCUACCCACACAGGAGAACUAGAUGGAGUUUCUGGCUCCUAGCUUUGGCCUGCCCCAACCUUGGCUGUUGCAGCCAUGUGGAGAGUGAACCAGUGGAUGGAAGAUCGCUCUCUCUCUGUCUCGGUCUCUUCUUCUCUAUCUCUGUCAUUCUGCUUUCAAAUAAAUAAAUAAAUCUUUUUAAAAAAGAGAAAAAUUACAAAAAGUAGAUAAAGCUAAAAUUAAUUAGAUUUUUCAGGACAAAAAUAGUGUGAUUGAAUAAAAUCAGGGGGGAGAAAAACUAUGACCCUCAUUAUUUAUCCUUGGAUUCUUGGUAGGCAGUGACGGUCAUCUGUGUGGCAUUUCAGAAAAACUACGAGUAAGCCUAGCAGAACCUCCAGUUCCAGCAAAAAGGACAGGGCCUUGUCCCAUUUUCCUCAUAGUUUUGUGAUUCUCACCCUUAUCCUCAAGCUUCCGUGGAACUCAACUACCAUUGAAACGUGCAAGGGAAAAUUUGCCUGGCACCUUCAAAAAUAUAUAUUUUAAAAAUUUAUUUUUAUUUAUUUUUAUUUUGUUGAGAGAGAGAGAGAGAAAGGGAGAGAGAGAGAAAGGGAAAAAGAGAAAAUGUUCUUCCAUUUCCUGGUUUAUUCUCCAAAUGGCCACAAUAGCCAGGGCUGAACAAGACUGAAGCCAGGAGCCAGGAAUUCCUGGGUCUCUUGCGUAGGUGGCAGGGAAUCAAGGCUUUGAGCCAAUACCUGCUACCUCCCAGGGUGGGCGUUAGCAGGAAGCUGGAAUCAAGCAACGGAGCUGGGACUUGAACUCAAGUGCUCCAACAUGGAUUGCUGAUAUUUUAACCACUAGGCAAACUCCUGCUUCUUAAAAACUUUUUUUUAAAUUAAAAAAUAUUUUGAGCUUGGUUAUCUCAUAAGUAAGUCUUAUUGAAAUUAUGACAAAAAUCUAAAUUCUGUUGGUUAGUUGAGAGUAAUUUAUAGGGUUUCUUUAUUCAAUACAUUCAUUCGUUGCUUUCACAUGUUAAUAGCUAUUCAUCCACUGUUCCCUCUGAAUUGCAUUUUAACAGGAUUAUCCUUCUUUCUCUAAUUUAUUAAACUAGCAUGGAAUAUACUUAUAUAGAAAUUAGCUGCUUAAAUACUUCCUUGAUGAAAAACAUAGCUGUUGUAAUUUUAUUAUGAAUUUUAAUCAGGGAAAAAAUGACCUUUGAAAUUUUCUUCUACCUCAUUUUGUAUUUGUAUGUUUGUGUGUGUGUGUGUGUUUCUCUCUCUUUAUAAGAUUAGAAAUCUUGAUGACUUAAUUAAAUUUAUAUAGAAAACAUGUGACUGGACAGUAAAAGUUUGUUUUGAAGGAAAAAAAAUCUUAAGGAAAUAGGUAAUAAAUUAAUAAGACUAACAGAAGACCUGUUUUCUCUGAAAAAUACUAAUCUUCUAGCAUAGUGCAUCUACUUCACAAUAAAACACAUCCUGGUUUGCUUUUGGUUUGAAAAAAAAAAAAUAUCCUCUGAAGCUAAUCCAAAAAAAUGCACUGAUCCCAGUUUCUUUUGAUGCAAGAUUCCAAGCCUUUUGGGGAUCCACUGUAAUUGUUGCCAGUCUAGCAAGUGCCUCUUCAUUCCAUUCCCAAAAUAGCCUCCCAGGAAGAUGCCUCUGUGAUAAGGGGAGCCAAACUUCUGUCUCACUGUUUGAUGAUUGUAAAAAUCUCUGUGACUGGAAGGAAGCUUUAAGUAAAUGAAUGGUCCUUAACAACUUUGAUGUAUAAAAGCGUUUACCUGAGAGUUUUGCUGAAUCUUUAUUUGAAAGCUUCCUGAGAGUGUUGUUAAAUGUGUAGUUGGAAGGUCUAGGCCAAAGGUACUGAUCCAGAAAGUGUGGACUAGGUUUUGGGAGUAGAACGUUAUCACGCAUGCAGUCCCGGGACCAUAUUUGGAACUCAGAAAACGCUUCUCCCGAGUAUGGUGCAGAACCCUUCUGAAAUGGGGAUCAUAUGGCCAAUGAUCAGAGUAGUGGAAACAAAUUACCCCUAAAAGCCUGCAAAGUUUUCAAGAGAAUCAUCCACUGAGACUUGACUGAGGAGUGUCUGGGCAGAGCUACUAAUCUUAUCCGUCAGGCAGUUUGACUUGUGUGAUGUGCACAGGAGGGUCUGUUUUGUCCUAGACAACUGGAGCAAUUGUGCAAAACCCUUUGUUUGUAUCUGUACAUUCCUUAUCUAUUUCCAGAAAUAUCUUUCUUAAAAUUAAUCAGUAGCCUUCUUUUCAGUGGCCUCCUUUUUUUUUUUUUUUUUUUGUGAUGGUAUCUCAUCUCUGAGGAUGUUCGUUACCAAUCAUGUUCUAAAGAAAGUAAUCUCUAGCUUGUGAAAAAUUCACCACUGGUUUCCCAAAGCCUGCCUUUUUAGGAAAAACUAAUGUAUGUCCACUGUGUAAUGAGAAAUGGAAAUUUACUGUCAGGGAAUGCAUAAAUUCUGAACAGAAUUUGACCACUUUGGAAUGUUCCCUGAGAUUCAUCAAAAAGUCAUUGGGUUUAUGUCUCUGGAGACUAGAUCACUUGUAUUCUACUCUGGAUAAACAUUUUAUUAACUUUUAACAGAGUUUGUUUAUUUCCUUCAACAUAAGAUAGAUCAGAAAGUUUCCUUACAUCAAGCUCCACUGAUAGAUGCAUGUGUGUGUGCGUGUGUGUGUGUGUGUGUUUGAGAAGCUGGGAGAGACUAGAGGGUAUUUUUAGGCCUUAGGGCUUGCUUGAAGAAAAGGGUUCUAGUUUCUAUGACAUACUUUAGGGGAGUGAAAGGGAACAGAAGACAGGCAGGCAGGGCAUGAGAGAAACUUUGCUUCUGAGGUCUUCACUUUGGGACCCAACAUCUUCUCUAAGAAAGAAAUUUGCACUAUGGUAUGUUUGGUUGUGAUUUUUAACCUCUUCCUGCUGCUGGUGAGUCAAAAUUUGGGUUGAGAUGAUAAGAAAGGUAGGAAAUCUAAGUGUGAUUGUCUAAAAAAUUGGAGAUGUAUUUUUUUUUUGAGGCUGUUGUAAUGGACAGUACCUUCUAGUCAUAAGCCAAAGUAAUCUAUUUUGUUGCUGCCUUUGAUACAUUAAACAAAUUGACUUCAGAAUGAUUACAUUUGAGAAUUAUUGGUAACUGAAGAAAUUAAUUGGUCACAAGCAUUUUCCAAUUUGUACUUCAUCAUCACUCAGUUACUCACCCCAACCCCCAAGGGUCGUUUUCCCUUUUCACUGCUUUCCCAUUCAGUGGUUUUUCAAUGCCUCUUCCUCACAUCAUGAUAAGUGGGUAGAAUUACCAGUCUUUUGUUAAGGGAAAAAAAAAUCACAGGAUCUUAGAUUAAAAAGGAAAGCGAGCGUUUACUCAAUGGUUAGGUUUAACCUAAGAAUCUGACUUAUAGAAGGCUUAGGUAGCUGUAUAACCGGCCUAGUAAAGCUUGGAGCCGGAGCAAGUGUUUCUGUGGCAACAGUUUGUUAGAGACUGCAAUCCCGAGGAAGCAGGAUGUGGGAGAAGGCAGACUGUUGGGGAAUGUAUUACACAGCUGGCACGCCCUUGGUAGCAAAGUCCACUGAUUUCAUGAUUUUGCAGGACCGUAUUCUGAGAAGACAUUUGAGUGACUGUUUCUCAAAUCAGCCUUUCCCGAGGGAGGGGAAGAGAUGAACUUCUCUCAUGUGUCACAAUUUUGCCAAAUGGGUCUUGUAUUUCCAGGCCACACAUUUCACAAGAAACAGGAUUUCUGGGGCAGGAAGCCAGGGUUCUGUGUGCAUGCAGGAGACUAACAACUAACUAACAACUCACUAACAAAGAGAGUUGUUAGUGGCCAAGAGCUUUAGAACUAAGUGAGGAUUUUAGCGGACAAAACAGGUUUUAUUCAACGACUUUCUCUUUAGGGAUAACAGAACUAAGACUGUACGUACAGGUGUCUUCAAAAAUGUCUAAUAGAGGGGUGGGCAUUUGGUCUAGGACACCCCUGUGGCAUAUGGAGUGCCUGAGGUUCAGUUUCCUGCUCCCUAAUCCCAGCUUUCUGGUAACACAGACCAUGGGAAGUAGCCCUGAUGGUACAACUAAUUGGAUUGCUGCCACCCUUGUGGGGCACCUGAGUUGAGUUUCUGGCUCUUUGCUUUGGCCUGGCCCAGCCAUUGUGGGCUUUAGAGGAAUGAACCUAAAGAUGGAAGCUCUCUUUCUUUCUCCUCUCACAAAAAAUUCUGAUACAAAAAUUUUUAACUAUGGCUAAUAAGAAAGGGAAAACAAGUGACCUAUGUACUGAUGAUUCUUUCUCCAGAAAAAUAGAUUUUAUGUUCUAAACGAAGAAGCAAAUAGCAUACAUAUAUUUCUGAUAGUAUAGCAGAUAGGAUUAUUGAAGAACCCUCCUGAUACAAAAUGUUACACGAAAGUAUAGCAAAUAUAUCUUUAAGUAUAUAGUCAGACAAGGGAUGAAGUAAGGAUACUGAGCAUAUUAAGGAAAGAAAUUGCUAUUUAUCAAAAGAUAGUAUUAGCAAGUUGAAAGGUCAAGCUAGAAGAUAAAAGAUAUUUAUGACGUAAAUGAUUAGAACUAUAUUUAUAGUCUGAGUACAAAAAAGACUUCUAUGAGAUAAUAUAUUUUUUUCUUUUAAGAUAGAUUUUAUUUAUUUGAAAGGCAGAGUGACAGAGAGAGAGGGAGAGACAGAGAAAAAGAUCUUCCAUCCACUGGUUCACUCCUCGUAUGGCUGCAAUGGCCAGGACUGGGUCAGGCUAAAAUCAGAGCCUAGAGUUCCAUCUUAGUCUCCCAUGCGCGUGUUAGGGACUUAGGGACUUGGGUCAUCUCUGUAUUCCUUGCCCUUGAAACUCAAUUGGGUCUCACACCCUAUGACCUUCAUUCCCCACCCUGCAUUCUUUUCCAGGUUCCCAUGACCUCGCCCAGUUCUUAGAAUUCCCCUCUGCGUGUUGUCCCCUACUCCCACCCCCAGCCCUAGCCCUCCUUAAAAAGGUCCAGCCCCUGGGGUCAGGGCCUUCUGUCACAUGCUCCAUUGUGUACAGGCAGGCAGUUGGUCACCCACUUCUGCGGAUUUAUUUUCUCUGAAUAAAUUUGCUCUGGCUGUAAAUUCGUGCACUGCCUCCUCUCUAUUCUACGACUCUUUUCCAAACAUUUUGGUGCCCUGUGUGAGGAGGCACCAAUCUGCAACUCUUUUCCUAACAAUCUACUCCCAGAGAAUUUUUUAAUGGGAUACUUAUUUAUUAUCUUAAACACAAGCCUGAAAUAUGAGGUGGCUAUUACAGAUUCAAAAGAAAUUGCAUUUCAGAUAUGCAAAAAUGUCCUGUUGGUGCUCUGACAGCUAAAACAAUGCUUUAAAAGUUAAUUAAAAAUAAACUGAUCUUUUAAUUUCAUUUUUUCCAUUAACUGCUUUGGAGUCAUCUUGUAUUUUUUUAAAAACAAUUUAUUUAUUUGAAAGGCAGAGUUACAAGGAGAGGGAGAGAAAGAUCUUCCAUCUCCUGGUUCAUUUCCCAAAUGGUUGUAAUGGCUGGGGCUGGGCCAGGCUGAACCAGGAGUCUGGAACUCAAUUCAGGUCUCCUACAUGGGUGGCCAGGGCCCAAGCACUUGGGUCAUCUUCCACUGUCUUCCCAGGUGGGUUAUCAGGGAGCUGGAUCAGAAGCAGAGAAGGGACUUCAACCAGUGAUCUUAUGGGAUGCUGUUGUUGCAGGUGGUGGCUUAACCCACUGUACAACAAUGCCAGCCCCUAAAAGUUUCUUUUUUUAAAAAAAAUUCUUGGGGCUGGCCCAUGGCACAGUAGGUUAAUUUUCCCCCUAUGGUGCCAACAUCCCAUAUGGGCACCGAUUCUUGUCUCUGCUGCCCCUCUUCUGAUCUAGCUCUCUGCUAUGGCCUGGGAAAGCAGUAGAAGAUGGCCCAAGUGCUUGGGCCCCUGCACCCAAGUGGGAGACUGGCUCCUAGCUUCGGCUAGGUGCAGUUCCGGCUGUUGUGGCCAUCUGGGGAGUGAACCAACGGAAGCAAGACUUUUCUCUCUGUCUCUUCCUCUCACUAUCUGUAAAUCUACCUCUCAAAUAAAUAAAUAAAAUCUUAAAAAAAUUCUUAAACAUUGGACAUAUAUAAUAAAUAAAAUCCAAAUUUAGAAAUUCAUUCAAGAUUGAUUGAAAUUCCUAAUGUGGCUGUAGGCAGUGUUUUUAAAUAAUAAUACCCCGAAGGAAUGUGAGCAUCAUGGUUAUCGCUCCCCCUCUUCGUGGAGGAACGACAUAGGACCCUGCGCUGUUCUUUUGUCUGCUCGGCCCUUCCCGGGUUUGCUGCUGGUUCUUCCCGGGUUGGCUACCAUCCCUUCCACCUCCGUGGAAGGGCGGUUCCCCCUAGCCACUUUCCCCACUUCCGCGGGGGAGCGGCACACCGCCGGCCGGCUCUCUCGGGGUCUGCUCAGGUGUUCCCUUUAGAUGUUCCUGGUGCAUGUUGUCUCUCUCCUCCUUUAUAGUCCUCUUCCACCAAUCCCAACUCUGCUACCCACACACCGAGUACGCUGCUCUCCUCCAAUCAGGAGCAGGAUCAGCUCCUGCAGGUCAUCACUCAAGUUGGCGAGAGGCAGCUGCGUAGAAGCUGUUUACUCCUCUCCCAGCGCCAUAUUGUGGGAGAGCAGAUGCAUAGAAUAAGUCUUAAUUCGAGUAACUUAGUCUAGUCCGAGUUGCUCCCCACAUAUGGUUAAUUUAAAUGUCUGCCCAAGAAGCCAGAGGUAAUACCUACUGUUUUUCUGUUUCCAUAACCCACUGCUAACAUGGCUGGUGCUGUCAGAGAAGAUAUGGAAAUACACAACUAUGGGCAGACAGGUGGAGUAGGGCUUAGAUUACAGGCUUUGAGAUCAGUCUGACCUGGGUUGGAAUCUUGACUGCUACUUCCUAACUGGAGGUGAUACACAUGACUUGUUGUUUUCAAAAGCUUGAUGGUGAGAGCCAAAAAAACCCCUCCUGGUUGAGAAAGUGUUGUGGGAGGAGAGUUCAUGUGAGAGAGCUCAAGUGUGUUUAGAACCCAAGGGUGAGGAGAGUUUGAAAAGGGAGCAGAGAGAGUCUUAUUUAAGUUAAUGUUUCCUCUUGUGAAAAAUAGGUCUACCACACAUUUCUUUAAAGUUGUGUCAGGAAAAUUGGAUUAUUACGUAUGUUGGAUUUACAAGCAUAUAUGCUGUCUCAGCCUAUUUUGUAUUGCAAUAGCAAAAUAUCCCAGACUGGGUGUAUCAAUCAGACUUUUGUUACCAUAGCUAAAAUACCCAGAGACAGAUUUCCUGGGAUGUGAAGGGGUUGUUUUGCCUUACAGUUUGGAGGUUCUUAGUUCAGCUCCAGGCGCCUCACUAGUCUGGUUUUUGAUGGAGACUGGCAAUGGUAGAGCAGGUAUGGAGGAACCAUCACAUAAUGAGCCAGGAGCCAGAAAGAGAACCAAAGUCAGUUUUAAUAACCAACCAUCUCUUGGCCAGUGCUGCAGCUCACUAGGCUAAUCCUCUGCCUACGGCGCUGGCACACCGGGUUCUAGUCCCAGUCAGGACGCCGGAUUCUGUCCUGGUUGCCCCUCUUCCAGGCCAGCUCUCUGCUAUGGUCCGGGAGUGCAGUGGAGGAUGGCCCAAGUCCUUGGGCCCUACACCCCAUGGGAGACCAGGAGAAGCACCUGACUCCUGCCUUCGGAUCAGCACAGUGCGCCGGCUGCAGCGCGCCGGCCACAGCAGCCAUUGGAGGGUGAACCAAUGGCAAAGGAAGACCUUUCUCUCUGUCUCUCUCUCUCUCACUGUCCACUCUGCCUGUCAAAAAUAAAUAAAUAAAUAAAUAAAUAAAUAACCAACCAUCUCAUGAGAAUUACCUUCUGAGGGCAUGAUGAUCUAAUUUAUUAGUAACUCUAAAAUCAAUGCUGACCUAAAGACCUCCCACCACCUGGGUCCUGCAAAGUGGUGGAGCAGGUUUAAGUAGCUGCGAGAGGUGCCAGCAUCCUGUAUACACACCAUAUUGAGUCCUGGCUGCUCUUCCUUCAAUCCAGCUCCCUGCUAUGAGCCUGGGAAAACAGCAGAAGAUGCUGUGAGUGCUGGGUCCCUGCCACCCUUGUGGGAGACCUGGAGGCAGUUCCAAGCUCCUGAGUCUGGCUUGGUCCAGCCUCAGCUGAUUCAGCCAUUUGGCAGAGUGAAUCAGCAGAUGGAAGAUAUCCUUCUUUCUCUCUUCCCCUCUUUGCCACUCUGCUUUUCAAGCAAAUAGAAUAAACAUGGCCGGCGCCAUGGCUCACUAGGCUAAUCUUCCGCCUGCGGUGCUGGAACCCUGGGUUCUAGUCCCCGUUGGGGCACUGGAUUCUGUCCCGGUUGCUCCUCUUCCAGUCCAGCUCUCUGCUGUGGCCAGGGAAGGCAGUGGAGGAUGGCCCAAGUGCUUGGGCCCUGCACCUGCAUGGGAGACCAGGAGAAGCACUUGGAUCCUGGCUUUGGAUCAGCGCAGUGUGCUGGCUGUAGCGGCUGUUUUGGGGGGUGAACUAACAGAAGGAAGACCUUUCUCUCUGUCUCUCUCUCUCUCACUUUCUAACUCUGCCUGUCAAAAAACAAAAACAAAAAAGCACAACCAGACAAAUAGAAUAAACAUUAAAAAAAUACCUCCCCACCAGAUCCACCUCUCAGAUGCCAGUUAGACCAUGUCUCCACCCUUAAUCCAUCUGACUGCAGUUAAAAUAUCUAAAUGAGUUUGGAGAACGAAGUUCUGCUCAGUCCUUGGCUCUGGGUGAAUUUAUAAGUAAUAGAAAUUUGCUUCUCACAGGUCUGGAGUCUGGGAAGUCCCAGAUUAAGGCACCAGCAUCUGGCAUCUGGUGAGGGCACAGCCUCCACUUCCAAGGUAGCACCUGAAUGUUGCUUCCUCCAGAGGGAGAAGCAUGUUCCACACCUGCAGAAAAGCAGCUUACUCCCAUAAGCCCCUUUAAUCCAGAUGGAAUCAAGUCUCCCUGCUUCCUGGAGUUUAGUCCCUUUAUUUAUUUUUUUUAACAAAGUCUAUUUGUGGACAUGCUUUUAUAUGCACUGUAUUAAAAAAAAAAAAACUUUUAGCUUCCUGUUGCUUAAAGGCAAGGUUUGACCUCUGACAGGUGCAAGUCCUUAAUGCAGCCCCACUGCUUACUCUGUGUGUGGGGAUGGGCAUCCAAGUGGCCGGCUCAGAGUUCUCAGUUUCUCAUCUGCACAUUGAAGUACUCCUUGUAUCAUUGUUAGCACUAAUUGAGGCAAUAUAUACCAAGAGCUUAGGACAAUUAAAUUUCAAACAAUAUGUUUUAAAUUGGGGAUAUGGUCCAUUUUAAAGAUAAAUAUGCACAAUGAUUUUCUCAAAAUGAUCAUUCAAUGAAUAUGGUCACUAUUUCCAAAAGAAGGAAAAAGAAUCUUAUUUCAGAUGUCUGUAUCAGAUAAGAUGAUCUGGGUUAUGUCGAAGUAAAAACCACCACCUAGUUUGUUCAAAACAACAUUGGAAAAUAACAAUUUAUUUCUUGAUCAGUCUGUUUGCUGUACAUUGGUAAUGGAGGUGUGGUGGGAAACUCUGUUCCACAUCAUCCUUAGUGACUCCAAUCAGAUGGAAGCCUCAAAGUUGGGAAAGCUGUGGGUCAGUGACCCAAGAACGAAUGUUCUGGAGACAUAGGCACUAUCAAAUGCUGUCACCUGGGAAAGGGAGUUGUCAACUUUACUCACAUUCUCUGGGCUGAAGAAACUCAUGUGUUCACGCCAAUCACAGAAUCUCUGGGAAGUGCAGUCCUUCCAUGUCCCCAGGAUUAGGGGAAAACCCACAGCUGGAGAAAAGUCUACUGCAGUAGGGUGAGGCAAAGGGACCCUGGAUUCUCUAGCUGUCAAACCUCAUUUACUGGAAUAAAUAAAUUAUAUGUGAAGUAUUGCAUUUAUACAGAACAGUUUUCUUGUCAUAUUAUAGGAUAUAAUCCAUUCUGCCAUAUAUCAGUGCUUAAAAUAAAACACAUGCUGGUAGCCCUUGAGAAGAGUAGAAGUAAUGCUCCAACUGAAAUAGUUGAGACCUGGAUCCUUUGUUUCAGUUACUCUUCCCUUAGAUUCCGUUGAAUCUAUCUGUACAUUAAUUUUAUGCAGUUGGUCUUUGUUAUUUGUAAAUUUCACAUUUUCAAAUUUGUCUACUCUCCAAUUUAUUGGCAACCUCAAAAUUAAUCCUGACAGAGUUUUUUUUGAAGACAUAGACAGAGCAGUGAAAACUUGAAUUUCCCAAUAUAUAUACUCCCAGCUGAGGUAAACAAUACUCUUGCCUUCUGAUUUCAGCUCUCAUGCCAUGAAUGAAUGUUACUUUCAUGAUCUAUUUAACACCAUAUAUUUUGCCUUUUUGUGCAUUUUCUUGGUGAUUUUGCUCUUUAAAAUGCCCCCAUGUAUAGUUCUAAAAUAGCAUCUUAAUGUUAAGCACAGAAAGGGUGUGAUGUACUUUAUUGAAAAGAUAAAUUAGUUAAGCUGUAUUCAACUAUAGUGAUAGUGGGUUCAGUGUUAAUAAAUAAGUAAUCCAGUUGGCCCUCCGUGGUCUUAGGUUUAAUCAAACCUGGAUCAAAAGCAUUGGAAAACCGUUGUAUCUGUGUUGAACAUGUACAGACUUUUUUGUAAUUCUUGAAACAGGAUAGUGUAGCAACUAUUUACAUAGCACUUGUAUUAAGUAUUGUAAGAAAUCUACAGAUGAUUCAAAUUAUAUGGGAGGAUGUAUGUAGGUUAUAUGUAAAUACUACUCCAAUUUAUAUAAGACACUUGAGUAUUUGACAAUUUUGGUGUCUUUAGGGAGUCUUGGAACUAAUCCUCAUGGAUACAGAAAAGUGAUUGCAUAUUAAAUGUGUUUUUACACAGGAACACAAUAAAACAUAGUUAUUAUCAACAUAACCUUGAUUAAUAAUCCUUGGAUGUGUUUCUGUUUAAAGAUGAAAUCUUAACAAACCUGUUAAGACCCUGACCUUAUCUGUCCCCUGGGAGCAAUGGUUCCGUAUACACUAAUUCACUAAUUAAGUGUUUAUGGCGACUUUCUAUACCAUAAAUAUGAAUAAUGAGAAUUGACUGUAUAAUUGUAAUCUAGGACAUGGGGAUUUAAAUGGAAGCUCAAGAACAGAACUUUCUGGCACUUGAACAAAUACAGGUAAAUUCAAUAUCUAAAGACCUGUGGAAAACUUUGUGUAAUUUAGUAAAACAAAAAGAAAAGUAAUUUUUCAGCUGAAAAGCAUAGGCUUCAUUUUCCAUGCCUUUUAAAAUACAGAUGUAAAUUUCCUGUUUUUUUUUUUAAUUUUAAAAGUUUGCAUCUCAAAGAGGCAGACACACACACAACACACACAUACACCCCCCCACACACACACACAUACACACACACACAGAGCGAGAAAGAGAGGGAGAAAAUAUAUUCCAAUCUUGUUCACUCUCCAAAUGUCCUCAAUAGCCAGGACCAGGUCAGGCUGAAGCUGGGAUCCAGGAAUUCAGUCCAGGUCUCCUAUGUGAGUGACAGGAACCCAGUGACUCCAGCCAUCACUGCUGCCUCCCGGGCUGAAGCCAGGAUCCCAGAACUGUACCUGGGCUACCAUGUGGGUGCAGGUACCCUAGCACUUGGGCCAUCUUCUGCUACUUUCCUAGGUGCUUUAGCAAGUAGCUGGAUGGGAAGUGGAGCAGCUGAGACUUGAAGUGAUGCCCAUAUACAAUCCUGGCACCUCUAUCAGCCACUUAAUCUGCUGUGCCACAUGGUGGCUCCUGCCUGGGUUUAAAAUUGGUGAGUGCCCAUCAUCCAUGGUUACACCAGGACAAGUGGUGUUUCCUGUUUAUUGAUACAUUUGAGAAUCAACAUUUUCUUUUUCAUUUUAUACUCAGAAAAGAGCAUUUCUAAACCUUUUAUAGUCAAUGGGGGGCAUCCCCUCACUUUACUCCUUUUAAGUACAUGUCUCCCAGCAAGGAAAGAUUGAUGAUUGGACAUGCCACAUUUUAUGAUAAAAUGGCAUGAUUCUUUUCUCUAUCUAUCUAUCUAUCUAUCUAUCUAUCUAUCUAUCUAUCUCUUGUUAUGUUAGAUGCCUUAAAGAACCAAAUGAAUUACUUUUGCAGGUUGCAGAAUGAGCAACAAUCCCCUUGUUAUAAAGUUAUGAAAUUCAACUUCUUCUCUAUUAAAACACUUUCAGGUAAUAAUUUAGAGAGAAAUUGGGCAGAAUAUUACAAAUGAUUUUCCAUUUUCAACUGUGCCCUGCUUUGUCUGUACAUAUCCCCAGCACUGAGAACCUGAGCAGACUUUGUGCUCAUUAGCUUGGUUCCUGUUGGACUUGUACUUGACGGCAGUCUGAUGAAAAAUCUCUGCACGAGGGUUACUGGGGUAACUACAGCCCUGACUUCUGCAAUAUAGGGGCAGUCAGACUUGGGGUGAGUACAUGAGAGGAGACAAAAUAUUUUUUUAAAGAUUUAUUUUAUUUGAAAGAGUUACAGAGAGAAGUAGAGACAGAGAGAGAGAGAGAGGUCUUCCAUCCACUGGUUCACUCCCCAGAUGGCCGCAAAGGCCGGAAGUGCAUCAAUCCAAAACCAGGAGCCAGGAGCUUCUUCUGGGUCUCCCACACAGUUGCAGGGGCCCAAGGACUUGGGCCAUUUUCUACUGCUUUCCCAGGCCAUAGCAGAGAGCUGGGUCAGAAGAGGAGCAGCUGGGACUAGAACUGGCGCCCAUAUGGGAUGCCAGUGCCCCAGGCCAGGGCUUUAACCCGCUGCACCACAGCGCUGGCCCCCAGACAAAAUAUUUUUUGUGUCAGAAUAAAACAGAUGGGUUGCUGAUUAUUGUCUGUGCAUUAGCUGCUGACUUGAGAACUUCAUGAUAUUUACUGCCCUAGUUAUCAUUUUAAAAUAUAACAAGAAUGGGCCGGCACUGUGGCUCACUAGGCUAAUCCUCCGCCUGGGGCGCCUGCACACCGGGUUCUAGUCCCAGUUGGGGCGACAGAUUCUGUCCCAGUUGCUCCUCUUCCAGUCCAGCUCUCUGCUGUGGCCCGGGAAGGCAGUGGAGGAUGGCCCAGGCCCUUGGACCCUGCACCCGCAUGGGAGACCAGGAGGAAGCACCUGGCUCCUGGCUUCGCAUCGGCGCAGUGUGCCGGCUGCAACGCGCCACCCGUAGCAGCCACUUUGGGGGGGGUGAACCAACGGAAAAGGGAAGACCUUUCUCUCUGUCUCUCUCUCACUGUCUAACUCUGCCUGUGAAAAAAAAUUUAACAAGAAUGAACUUUAAUGUUGAUUAUUAGACUGUCUUUUAUUUCCAGUAGAAGUAUCAUUUACAGAUUGGUACACAGAGUACCACAUAGUAAAAAUGUUUUUGAGUAGUUAAAAAAUAAAAGAGGGGUUUCCCACUAGAGUGGUAGCUGUAUGUUUUGUAACAACAGAGUUCUGCUGAAGGAUUUUACUCUGAUUCCUGGACCUGGAUUUUCAUCUUAAGUGGAAUAAGUGGUAAAAAAAUAAGUGGUAAAAAAAGGAAAAUGAGGAGAAGUGGUUUGCAUUUAAGUCCAGUGGCAUCAGUGAUCUGCUGACAGCAGGAUGGAAGAGGAGAGAGGUAGAGAAGCCUGGUGAACUCUGGACUGGGGAGUUGGAGGCCCAGGAACAGUCCUAAUGCUGCAAACAUAGCGGGAUGGAGAGAUUAAGGUCCCUAAGCAGACCUUGGGGCACAAUGGAACCAGGCAACCUGUUUAUUUACCAACCAUUGUGAAGGAUAUGGAAGCCAUUUUAAACUCUGUCUUGUCUGUCUGUCUGUCUCUCU